rnacentral:rRNA from 1 species
UAAGGAAUAUUGGUCAAUGGGGGCAACCCUGAACCAGCCAUGCCGCGUGCAGGACGACUGCCCUAUGGGUUGUAAACUGCUUUUGUCGGGGAAUAAACCCCACUACGUGUAGUGGGCUGAAUGUACCCGAAGAAUAAGGAUCGGCUAACUCCGUGCCAGCAGCCGCGGUAAUACGGAGGAUCCGAGCGUUAUCCGGAUUUAUUGGGUUUAAAGGGUGCGUAGGCGGCACUUUAAGUCAGGGGUGAAAGACGGCAGCUCAACUGUCGCAGUGCCCUUGAUACUGAAGUGCUUGAAUGCGGUUGAAGACGGCGGAAUGAGACAAGUAGCGGUGAAAUGCAUAGAUAUGUCUCAGAACACCGAUUGCGAAGGCAGCUGUCUAAGCCGUUAUUGACGCUGAUGCACGAAAGCGUGGGGAUCGAACA